UGCUCUCUGCCCUGCAGGUGAGGUCAGAACGCCCAGGCGGAAUAAUAUUUUUUUGGGAUCGCUUCAGGUCUGUUGUGUGCCAGCCCACCCCGAGUGGGACGCCUGAUACGGAAACAAGGGAUCCCCCCUGUUGGUUCUCGCUGAGAGGCCCAACGACCCACGGCUGGCGUGGAGAGCAC
rnacentral:other from 1 species